rnacentral:misc_RNA from 1 species
GCAAGUUGAUUUUGUUGGGAAUUAUAAUCAGAAGCCAAUUGGUAAUCCUUUUUCUGCUACAUAUAAUCCAGCAUGGAGAAAUCACCCUAACUUUUCUUGGGGAGGUUGACAAGGACAGCAGCAGCAGAACUAUCAACAACCUCCUGAUUUCCAGCAACAACAGCAGAAUUUUCAGCAAAACAGUGUACCACCUAGAUUUCCACCACAAAGGAAUCAAAAUGCACCU